ensembl:lncRNA
UGAUGGCUGAGGAGGGAGCUCAGCAGACAGAAGAGGACACAUUUUCCACGCAUAAAACCGCUUUGGCCACCAAGCCAGUCGUCAAGCUAGAAUGAACAAAGAACUGCCAUCUGCUCUGCCCCUUAUAUAAGAAAAACACCACCAGAAAGAUGUCUCCAUUGCUAGGAGAUUCAACCUCUCCAGUAUUCUCAUUCGAAAGAUGUCUUGAAUCUAGAGUACUGUUUCUCAUGGAAUGCAUUCAACCAGGCUCUGGAGAUCUGGACGCUCAGGCUUGAGGCUUCUCACAAGCUCCUAAGCACCGAUGAUGCUUUGUUCUGUGGGAAGCAGGGAUCUGAAGCAUGGAACAACAGCUUCUAAAAUCACACACCAAGAGCUGUUUCUACAGCACUACUUUAAUAAGGAUUUUCCUUGGCAGGAAACCACCAGGAAACCGACAAAUCUAGUUUAAAGCCCAAAUCAAAUCAUUUGCUGGAGAGAAUCUCUUGUACUGAAUGGAAGCUUCACCCAUCAAUCAAAAGCUGAUUGGUCAAUGAGCUGAGGCAGGAAAUAGGAGGUUGGAGUUUCGACAGAGAGAGGAACUCUGGGAUAGAGUCACGUUGCAAGCAUUCAACCAGAACUCUGAGGAAGCCGGCCACGUGAAACUGAAGCUGCCGUUCCAAGGACCAAGUUGUUAGUAUGCUUCCGGCCGUUUCUUCUGGCAUUUCCCAGAGUUUCUAUGAGCAUGUGUGCAGCCUGGCCUCGACUGCUGUUCUCUUCUGCAGAAGCCCCAACUUUCCCCAGCUCUGGGCCUCCACUUCUCCAGUAGCGAGCGUUCUGGGUCACUGCAACUCAUCCCUGCUCUCAGAACUGGUCCACUCCUGGGGGAGCAUUCCCCUUCUAGAGUGAUUUAUCCUCUUCUGUUUCCACUCUUAUUUUAUUUCUAAAAAUUU